UUUUUUUUUUUUUUUUCUAAUCCCAAUUGCUUGUUUUAGAUUAGAUACUAUUCUAGAAAUAUGCGAAGUAUUUGGGGGGAGGGGAGUACCAGGGAUUGAACUCAGAGGCACUCAACCACUGAGCCACAUCCUCAGCCCUAUUUUGUAUUUUAUUUAGAGACAGGGUCUCACUGAAUUGCUUAGCGUCUCACUGUUGCUGAGGCUGGCUUUGAACUUGUGAUCCUACUGCCUCAGCCUCCCCAGCUGCUGGGGUUACAGAUGUGCGCCACCAUGCCUGGCUGUGUGAAGUAUUUUUAAAAAUGUACUUGACUUCUCUUUGCUAUAAACCAAAUUUUCCUAACUAUCUAGUAUGUACACGUUAGGACGCAAACAUUAAAAAAAAAAGGCCAAUUUAUAGAGGAAAAUUACUAGACAGAUAUCUCUGGGAUAUUGGGAUAUUUACAUUUUAUAUUCUCUGCUAAAGAGACUAGUGUCAAGAAGUAGACUUGAAACUUAGGUACUAGACACAGUAAUAAUGCUGACUUGUAUUUAAAAUCCCAGUGACUUGGGAGGCUGAGGCAGGAAGGUCACGAGUUUGAGGCCAGCCUCUGCAACUUAGCGAGACCCUAUCUCAAAAUAAAAAGGGCUAGGGAUGUGGCUGAAUGCUUAAGUGCCCCUGAGUUCAAUCCCUGGUACCAAAAAAUAAAACAUUAGCUUUGGUCUGGGGAUAUGGCUCCAUAUUAGAGUACUUACCUAGCAUGCAUGAAACCCUGGGUUUGAUCCCUAACAUCACAAAAAUAAAUAAAUGAAUCCUUAGCUUUUUUUUCUUUUAGUACCUUUCUUUAACACUUUGCUUCAAAUCAUCUUUUUUGGGAGGGCAGGGUACCAGUGAUUGAACUCAGGCAUUCAACCACUGAGCCACAUUCCCAGCCCAGCCCUAUUUUGUAUUUUUUAU
rnacentral:lncRNA from 1 species